GCGGAAAUAGCUCAGCGGUAGAGCAUCGCCUUGCCAAGGCGAGGGUCGGGAGUUCGAAUCUCCUUUUCCGCUCCA
rnacentral:tRNA from 2 species